GCCCUUGUGGCACAAUAGUUAAGUGCUUGGCUGCUAACCAAAGAGUUGGCAGUUCAAACCUACCCAGCAGCU
rnacentral:tRNA from 1 species